CCUACGGGAGGCUGCAGUGAGGAAUAUUGGUCAAUGGACGCAAGUCUGAACCAGCCAUGCCGCGUGCAGGAAGACGGCUCUAUGAGUUGUAAACUGCUUUUGUACGAGGGUAAACGCAGAUACGCGUAUCUGUCUGAAAGUAUCGUACGAAUAAGGAUCGGCUAAUUCCGUGCCAGCAGCCGCGGUAAUACGGAGGAUUCAAGCGUUAUCCGGAUUUAUUGGGUUUAAAGGGUGCGUAGGCGGUCGGAUAAGUUAGAGGUGAAAUCCCGAGGCUCAACUUCGGAAUUGCCGCUGAUACUGUUCGGCUAGAGAGUAGUUGCGGUAGGCGGAAUGUAUGGUGUAGCGGUGAAAUGCUUAGAGAUCAUACAGAACACCGAUUGCGAAGGCAGCUUACCAAGCUACUUCUGACGUUGAGGCACGAAGGCGUGGGGAGCGAACAGGAUUAGAUACCCUUGUAGUC
rnacentral:rRNA from 1 species